rnacentral:snoRNA from 1 species
UGCCGAUGAAGCAAAAUUCGCAUGAACCAACGCUACAAUGGUGGAAAUCAAUCUCUGAUAUAUUUGCACGUCAGUCUGAGGCACU